rnacentral:tRNA from 1 species
UCCCCAGUAGCUAAGAUGGUAAAGCAUCUGCUUGCAAUGCAGGUGACCCAGUUUUGAUUCCUGGGUCGGAAA